AUUGAACGCUGGCGGCAUGCUUUACACAUGCAAGUCGAACGGCAGCGCGGGCUUCGGCCUGGCGGCGAGUGGCGAACGGGUGAGUAAUACAUCGGAACGUGCCCAGUAGUGGGGGAUAGCUCGGCGAAAGCCGGAUUAAUACCGCAUACGACCUGAGGGUGAAAGCGGGGGAUCUUCGGACCUCGCGCUAUUGGAGCGGCCGAUGGCAGAUUAGCUAGUUGGUGGGGUAAAGGCCUACCAAGGCGACGAUCUGUAGCUGGUCUGAGAGGACGACCAGCCACACUGGAACUGAGACACGGCCCAGACUCCUACGGGAGGCAGCAGUGGGGAAUUUUGGACAAUGGGCGAAGGCCUGACCCAGCAAUGCCGCGUGUGUGAUGAAGGCCUUCGGGUUGUAAAGCACUUUUGGCGGGAACGAAAAGGACUGUGCCAAUACCACGGUUCGAUGACGGUACCCGAAGAAAAAGCACCGGCUAACUACGUG
rnacentral:rRNA from 1 species